GAGGAACGCAGCAGCCACAGGGAGGUGGCGGUGCCUUGGCUUCGC
rnacentral:SRP_RNA from 1 species